AAUCGAGCGGAAGGCGGCGCGCGGCACGCAGUGCGCUCGGGGCUCCGCACCUCCCAGCCAGAAAAUGAGGUUCAGAGAAGUGAAAUGACCCACAAGGUCACAGAUCUAGGAUGGGUCAGACUUUGAUUCCACAAGCUCUGCUUUUUCCACGGUUCCACACAGUUACCAUGGCUUCACACACGCAAAAGCGCCAUCCUGCCACCUUCCUAUCAGGCACAGAUGAGCCCUCCACUGCGUGAAGGUUUCCAGUUUCCUUAGAUCCCUAGAGCAACCUGCCUUGAAGUCUUAGGACAGCAUGCUUUUAUUCAGUGUUUUUGCAGGAACACUUUCUUUGUCCAUAAACAAAGCCUUGAUAACCAAGAGAGUAGCACAGUAUUCUCCAUUGAGCUUUACCAUCCUAAAUUCCUAGGGGAACAUGCCUCAAACAACGUCCCAGACUUCUCCCCACAGAGAUUCUUUUUACCCUGGCGAAGGCCUGGGAUUUUGCAUUACUCAUCCUAGUGGCCCAGGGCUGGGAGAUAUCGAUUUAACAUAUUAAAAGUGGUCAACUGUGAAUGAUGUGCCCUAUAAUUGUGGGUACCCUGAGUACUAUUUUUCCGAAAACACAAACUAAAAGAGCUACCCUAGGUUCUUGGCUUCCUGAUUAUUUGUAAAAGAAUCAAGCUUCAGAGGAAAGGAUCUUCUCAACUUCAUUUUAGCACUUUUUCCAUAAGAAGACGUGGCCUGGGACAUCUGUAGUGCCUUUGGCAGACUCAUGCUUGCCCUUCUCUUGGAGAGGAACGGCUAGACCCUACAGUGACUUUAUGUUUAACCAUUUGAGGAACUCCCAGACUGUCUUCCACAGUGGCUGCACCAUUUUAAAAUCCUACCACCAACAGAUCUGCCUUGGACAAAGAUCCCUGUUUGGACUCUGAAGCUCAAUUUGAAAAUGACUUGUCUUUAUUAUUGAGAGUUUCAGUUGUCAGGCUGGCUUGGUGUUCGCCUACAGAGGUACCAAACAGUACGACUUUCAUCGUUAGAAGAAAAAGAAACUUGGGGGCGAGCAGCCGCCGCUGUACCCACAAUUCCUGCACCAAGACCACGUCCUGUGAGAAGCAGCUCAGACCCUGUGCAUUCGCAUUACAGUAAGUCACACACUACACACUCGGGAGAGAAGCAAGUGUCACCUACAUCCAAUGUUUAAUAGCCUGAUUUCAAAGCUUGGCCUGCCAUUUAUGUGUGUGACCUUGGGCAGUCGCUCGGAGCCUCCUGUCUAAAGCACGUCAUAACAGUGCCAGCAGCCAGUGGUCUGGUGGCUGUGGGCAGUGCAGUGGUGGACCCCUUAGCAGUAAUUUGAUGCGCUUACACUGACCCCAGGGUUGACCCUGGCAGAGUUCACACGAAACCUUUAACUAAACUUGGUACGUUUUCGCUCCAUUCUAUGGUACCCACCCCGCAGACGGGAACCUGGUUGACAGAGGUAAAUGCACAGCUGGAGGAUGAACUGCCCCCCCACCCAGUGCCAUUGCCAGGAAGGUGGUCUGUGACAGGGCUGGUUAACGUGUCAGUAGAGGCUCUUGGAGGGCACAGUGUGGCUUUCUUCCUUCCAUCCACUCCACUGCGGAGGGCUGGGAGGGCUCAGCAAUGCCGGGGACACUUGGGACUUAGAAGUAGAUUCCAGAUCUGUUUUAAGAUAACACUAAUCAGUGCCCUCCUUUGAUUACUGUUUCAUUUAUCUCGCCAAAAUAAAAUAACCUGGCUAAAGACAUGUAUUUAAGUACCUGCUCCUAUAUAUUAAAUAAUAACAAUGAAAAAACCUACACCUCAAGACGAAAGAGAAAAGGCGUGUUCUGAAAGCGCAGAUUACUCAGGAGAGCAGCAGUACCUGUGAGCUGCUGAGCAUCAGCAGUAAGGAGAUGCAGUCCCAGCAUCUCAGCAGGCUCCCGGCAUCUUCGCUCUCUCUCAGAAGGCUGUACAGGGAAGGACCUGGAGAGUACCACAUGCGCUAGGCGUGCUGGAUUGAGGAGUUUGGAAGAAGAAAGGCAGAAAAUGCCGGAUUCUCCAAGAACAGCAAUUCCGCUGCGUCCAGGGGUCCCGUUGCCCAUCAGGCAUCAGUGAAGGGAAGACCAGCCGGAUGGUGUGUUCUCCUUGCCGAUGUUGUCUGAAAUAGUGGAAAUAAGUGCACCUCUGCUCUCCCCGCAGAAGGAAGGGGAGUGGGGUGGAGCCUCCUGUCCCUGGAAGCAGAGACGCAACCCACGCGACCCCGAGGAAGAAGCCCUCCGGGCCAUGUCUGUGACGUAAAACACGGGAUGUUGUCCCCAGUGCAAACAUGCAAGAAACACACCCCGUGGGGAGCUGUGCUACGGUGAGGUGCACCUGCCACCUCAUCCUGGUGUUCACAGUGUUUGGCGGCUUUCAGCCAAGAUGCCCUUAACUAGGAGCAGCCCUGGAAUCUGGCAUCUCCACGUCCACCCCAGAAGGAUGGCCUUUCUACCAUUCUGUGACAGGCUUUCUCUAAAAUAAGCAUCAAGUAAGCCCCGCCCCAAACCAGCCAUUUUGCCCUAUUCCACCGGCGUGAUAAUGAAUUGGCCCAAACAGACCUUCUCCCAACAAUCCAUUAUCACGCCGGUGGAAGACCUUCUCCUUACUCCCAGAGUAGGUCUGAGGAAUGUUUAAAGGUCCAAGAGACACAGACUGUCUGUCAGAUUUUGGCACAAGUGGUGACAGCGCAGGUCAGUAGGGACGAAAGAGUCACUAAAACUGAGAGAUGACAGGGCUAGAGACACUGUUUAAAACCACCACAGGCAGGGAGGGAGGGAGAGGGGAUGGUGGGUGGGGGCCAAGUCCCCCAAGGAAGCGGGUGGUCAGAGGGCCUGCACCCCACCCCAUAGGAGAUGAUAAUGUGGGGGGCUGUGCAGGGGAAGGCCUGCCAGGAGAAGGGGUGUCGCCCAGAGCCCGCUGAGUGCAGGGCUUUCUCUCUGCUGACUUGCUCUAAGGCAGCCCAGGUAGAGCUAGUCCCGCCCAGGGUACCAAGCACAGCCAGGAAUAAACCAGAAAUCUGGAAGCCUGGCCUACCUCUGCCAGAAAUCUCAUAGCGGGCAACCUGAAAGCUCAGGAACAGUGCUUUCCUUCCAGUUAGUCUGUAAAUGGUGCCCUUUACAAGUGCCCUUUGAUGUGAUCUGUGGACAUUACAAGCGGGUUGAUGUCCUGGCCUUCCCAGCUUUGUUCUCUGCAGCUCACCUGUAUAGGCUCACUGGUUCAGCUCAAACACCCAGGAAGAUGGGCCCUUCUCUCUACUCAAGCCUGUGAAAUCAGGCCUUUAAGUAUAUUUGAAUUUUGAUAUUUAUGACAACAGUAUAAGCUUAUGAUUAUGAGAGGAAAACCAGUGUGAUUGUCACUGAGCAAUUCAGUAAAAUGAUUCUUUUUUUGGCCACAACCACGGCACGCAAAAAUUCUGGGUCUUGGAUCGAACCUUUGCCACAGCAGUGACAACACCCAAUCCUUAACUGCUAGGCCACCAGAGAACUCCCAAUAGAACAACUCCAGAUGUGAAAAGCGCUGUGUUUUACUUUUAACAAUAUACCAGGAGUUCCUCCUGUGGUUCAGCAGUAACAAGCCCAACUGGGAUCCAUGAGGACUUGGGUUCAAUCCCUGGCCUCGCUCAGUGGGUUAAGGAUCCAGCGUUGCCGUGAGCUGUGGCAUAGGUCACAGAUGCAGCUCAGAUCCUGCAUUGCUGUGGUUGUGAUGGAGGCUGGCAAGUGCAGCUCCUAUUGGACCCCUAGCCUGGGAACUUCCAUAUGCCGUGGGUGCAGCCUUAAAAAGCAAAAAACAAAACAAAACAAAACAAUACACCAAAAAAUAUUUUCCUGCUUUGGGAAGGUCUUCUUUAAUGAUGCUGAGAAGGAGAAUAAUAUAAUCUACAACUUAAAUUAAGAAGUUAGAGCAAUUAAGCUUCAUCUAGUGAAAGCCAAGCAUGUCUUUGCAAUAAAGAGGUAGCUAAGCACAGGAGAUACUUCGGUGGACAUAAAGGUCUUAACCUAGCUACGUAUCUUAAUUAUUUUUCUGAUGGAUCUAGGAAUUUUUCUUUUAAUAUGCCUGGUUCCUAGUAGAAAUAAAUAAGUUGGCUGGCCUGCAAGAUGGCUUUUUUUAAUCAGAAUGGACAAAGUCUUGUGCUUUGUGCUGUGUGCUUAAACAUAAUGAUAGAUAUUCAAAGUUCAAAUUCUCAGUGGAUCUCUGGACCGAAAGUUUUGUAAGAAAUCAAGGAAGAAGGACCACCACGCGCUAUAUCUAUUUCCUCUUGAAAAACAAUUUCUAGAUAUUGCCAGAGACCAAAGUUGUGAGUCAAAAUGUUUCUGUCGGUUUCCAUGUGGACACGGCCUGGUGCCCAUCACACCACACACGCUACCUGGAACUCAGACCUGGAAACUUGAAGAAUUGUCUGGAUUCCCUGGCAACAGGGCCUCAGGCAUCUCCUAGCCAGUGGGUCCUACGAAAGAGAUAAGCCACUUCAGCAAACUUGUCUCUCUCCAGCACUGGAAUGCAUCCAAAGGAAACACGAAAGACUCUGACAUCAGAAAACACCUGUUGACUUUGGAGCGCCCGUAUCAACAGCAGUAAAACACAGAGCAGAUGUGAGCCUGCUCUGGGGGGGUACGUGGAAUGUCAAGUAUGAAAAAAAUCAAGAGGAAAGGGAUAGGCACUUCCAAAUUCUUCUGCCUCUCUGUAAACAUGCCAUUAAUUAGGUUAAUUUUCUUAAAAUGUGGCCUCAAAAACCAUUCUAAGGUGGUCGCUUCAGGUUUCCAUUCCUAUAAAUCAAAGUCUGGUGAUAGAUGGUUUAAACGAUCAAUAGGUGUAUAAUCUCAACUCUAACUUUGGCCUAAAAUGUUCAUAGUAACUAUCCGUUCCUUUUAAAAAUUUCUUUACAAUUAAUGUAUAGUUGAUUUAAAAUGUUGUGCCGGUUUCUUUGGGAGUUCCCAUUGGGCUCAGCGGUAAUGAAUCUGACUAGUAUCCCUGAGGAUGCAGGUCCCACUCCUGGCCUCAGUCAGUGGGUUAAGGAUCCUAUGUUGCUGUGGCUGUGGCUUUUGCUCCUAUUCAACGCCUAGCCUGGGAACUUCCAUAUGCUCUACCUGCAGCC
rnacentral:lncRNA from 1 species